rnacentral:rRNA from 1 species
GUAAGGAAUAUUGGUCAAUGGGCGGAAGCCUGAACCAGCCAUGCCGCGUGCAGGACGACGGCCCUACGGGUUGUAAACUGCUUUUGCCCGGGAAUAACCCCCCGCUCUUGAGCGGGGCUGAACGUACCGGGAGAAUAAGGAUCGGCUAACUCCGUGCCAGCAGCCGCGGUAAUACGGAGGAUCCGAGCGUUAUCCGGAUUUAUUGGGUUUAAAGGGUGCGUAGGCGGCCUGUUAAGUCAGGGGUGAAAUACGGCAGCUCAACUGUCGCAGUGCCCUUGAUACUGACGGGCUUGAAUACCGGUGAAGGCGGCGGAAUGAGACAAGUAGCGGUGAAAUGCAUAGAUAUGUCUCAGAACCCCGAUUGCGAAGGCAGCUGCCUAACCGGCGAUUGACGCUGAUGCACGAAAGCGUGGGGAUCGAACAGGAUUAGAAACCCGUGUAGUCC